UACGUAGGGUGCGAGCGUUAAUCGGAAUUACUGGGCGUAAAGCGUGCGCAGGCGGUUUUGUAAGCCAGAUGUGAAAUCCCCGGGCUUAACCUGGGAAUGGCAUUUGGGACUGCAAGGCUGGAGUGUGGCAGAGGAGACUGGAAUUCCUGGUGUAGCAGUGAAAUGCGUAGAUAUCAGGAGGAAUACCGAUGGCGAAGGCAGGUCUCUGGGCCAUUACUGACACUGAGAAGCGAAAGCAUGGGGAGCGAACAGG
rnacentral:rRNA from 1 species